rnacentral:rRNA from 1 species
AGUCGAGCGGAGAUGAGGUGCUUGCACCUUAUCUUAGCGGCGGACGGGUGAGUAAUGCUUAGGAAUCUGCCUAUUAGUGGGGGACAACAUUCCGAAAGGAAUGCUAAUACCGCAUACGUCCUACGGGAGAAAGCAGGGGAUCUUCGGACCUUGCGCUAAUAGAUGAGCCUAAGUCGGAUUAGCUAGUUGGUGGGGUAAAGGCCUACCAAGGCGACGAUCUGUAGCGGGUCUGAGAGGAUGAUCCGCCACACUGGGACUGAGACACGGCCCAGACUCCUACGGGAGGCAGCAGUGGGGAAUAUUGGACAAUGGGGGGAACCCUGAUCCAGCCAUGCCGCGUGUGUGAAGAAGGCCUUAUGGUUGUAAAGCACUUUAAGCGAGGAGAAGGCUACUGAGACUAAUACUCUUGGAUAGUGGACGUUACUCGCAGAAUAAGCACCGGCUAACUCUGUGCCAGCAGCCGCGGUAAUACAGAGGGUGCGAGCGUUAAUCGGAUUUACUGGGCGUAAAGCGUGCGUAGGCGGCUUUUUAAGUCGGAUGUGAAAUCCCCGAGCUUAACUUGGGAAUUGCAUUCGAUACUGGGAAGCUAGAGUAUGGGAGAGGAUGGUAGAAUUCCAGGUGUAGCGGUGAAAUGCGUAGAGAUCUGGAGGAAUACCGAUGGCGAAGGCAGCCAUCUGGCCUAAUACUGACGCUGAGGUACGAAAGCAUGGGGAGCAAACAGGAUUAGAUACCCUGGUAGUCCAUGCCGUAAACGAUGUCUACUAGCCGUUGGGGCCUUUGAGGCUUUAGUGGCGCAGCUAACGCGAUAAGUAGACCGCCUGGGGAGUACGGUCGCAAGACUAAAACUCAAAUGAAUUGACGGG